rnacentral:rRNA from 1 species
AGAACGAACGCUGGCGGCAGGCUUAACACAUGCAAGUCGAACGCGUGUAGCAAUACACGAGUGGCGCACGGGUGAGUAACGCGUGGAUAUCUGCCUUUUGGUUCGGAAUAACCCCGGGAAACUGGGGCUAAUACCGGAUGGUUCCUUCGGGAUAAAGAUUUAUCGCCAAAAGAUGAGUCCGCGUACGAUUAGCUAGUUGGUGAGGUAAUGGCUCACCAAGGCGACGAUCGUUAGCUGGUCUGAGAGGACGAUCAGCCACACUGGGACUGAGACACGGCCCAGACUCCUACGGGAGGCAGCAGUGGGAAUAUUGCACAAUGGGCGAAAGCCUGAUGCAGCAACGCCGCGUGCGGGAAGAAGGCCCUCGGGUUGUAAACCGCUUUCAGAAGGAACGAAACUGACGGUACUUUCAGAAGAAGGUGCGGCCAACUACGUGCCAGCAGCCGC